rnacentral:ncRNA from 1 species
CCCUCGGACUGCUAUAUCAAACCAAAGUAGCUUUAAGCAAAAUGGAGUAGGUUGAACAGGGAA